UGAAUGCAGGACUCAAGGAUCAGAUUAAUUC
rnacentral:piRNA from 1 species